GUUUAAACCCCUCCCCUGCUA
rnacentral:tRNA from 1 species